rnacentral:sRNA from 1 species
UGUGUGUGUGUGUGUGUGUGCGCGCACGCUGUAUAUGUGCAUAUCCACAAAGCCCAGCAGUGGAUGAUGAAUCCUCAGGAGCUGUAGUUAUAGGAUGCCAUGAGUUGCCAGAUGUGGGUGGCAGGAAUUGAACUCAGGUCCUCUACAAGUACAGCAAGCUCUCUUAACCUCUAUACCAUCUCUCCAGAUGCAAAGGGGUGCUUUCUUAAAGUGAUUAAUCCACUUAGGCAUGAAACUGUUCCGGGGGCAGUAGACUUCAUACAAUGGGUUAUCCCAUCAUAUAGUGUACGCGCAUGGGCAUCUGAGAGUUACAGAUUUCAGGUUUCACACGCCUCGGGGGCUGAUAUUUUUCUAAGAGAUUUUCCCCGUUUUUAUUGAAAGAGUUCAGUUUAAUUGCUCUAAAGAGCAUUAAAUCAUAUUCAUGGGAGGCCAUUUGUUUGGGCUGAGCUCCUGCAUUAGGCUCUAGCAGACCAGAACAACUCAGAGUGCAGUCAUUCCUGCUCAGUGACACUAAUCCAACUGAACCUUUACCCGGUCAGUUUUUCAUAAAAAAAGGAGACUUACCAACCAAUUAAAAAUGGUUUUCCUUGAACCUUGAUGAGGGAGUCCCUCUGCUUAACUCUGGAAGGGAAGUAACUGCACCAAUAUGCUUUUAAGUCCUCUUUGCCCUUUGGAGCCCUAUUCUGCCCACAGUCAACUCCUUGUACCACCAGAACAACUGUUGUGUGUAGAAUGGUUGCCAUGCCACCCCAGAACUGCUAAUAAAAGCCAAUUGGAUCUUUCAGCUUUCACCAGUCUACUCUGCUCACUGUUCUGCUUUCCUGGAGGCUGCCCCUUAUGGCUGUGUUUACUCAGUUACUCAGGAAAGCACACACAUGAAUAAUCUUAAGAAAAGUUCCAAGGACUGUGACUGUUCUCGGCUCUUCCUCUUGCUGCUGAUGGGGCGUUUUGAGUGCAGAAAUCCUUGGCAAACUAGACCACCCAUGUGUGUCGGGUGUGGAGAGUAUAAGGACGUUGGUAAUUGUGGCGGUGUAAGCAUUUUAAUAAAGAUAACUUUUUAAAUGCACAAACCUAGUUGAUGAGUCUGGACACUUGCUGUCCUUUUCACUGACUUUCUCUCCAUUUUUAAUAAUGAUUAUUGGUCAGUCACAGAUUUUUUUUUACCUUGUUAUCAAUAGUACUUUAAAACUACAAAGGGGUUACUAACAAAAAGGGAAAAUGAACCAAGGGAGAAGAAAGUUUUGACACAGCCUCUCACAUCUAGUAAGAUGUUUUGUAGCAUAACUGCAGGGGCGGACAGUGAUUAAAAGAUCGCAGCGCUUGCUAAGUGUGAGCACGGCUAGGCGUACAUGCCACUGUGCUAUAUCCAGCACUCAUUAACCUGGACAGUCUGACCGGGCUCUUUUAGGAGUGGAGCCUCUGCUGCAGUGCAGACGGGAGGCUACUCUGCGUUGUGCGGUGGUACUUUUGCUGUUCUAUAAGUUGAGGAGCAAAAAGGAAUGUCCCAAAGCCACUAUUUAGUAACCCUUUGAAAUGAGUUUGUAUUUCACAAGAUCCCCUAGCCACCUUAACCCACAUGCUUCACCCCAUACACAGGCUCCAUAAAUGAGGGAAUUUAUAGGUUAUUUGGAAGAAAAAGAGCAGGGUAUGUAAACUUUAAAAAAUGUCACUGUACUUAACUGUUAAUGAAGUGUUGUGUGGUGGGGCCUCCAGCUCUUCUGCUGUUUGUAGCCAGCAGCCCUCAUUUGCAUGCCCAGGGCAGGCACUAAUCCCUACCCUCAGCUGCUCCCCAGAAAGGCAUGCACCCCAUAAUACUGUUCAUCCCGCUGGUUUAUUUAGCAAAGCCUUUCUUCCCAGCACACACAGGUCUCCAUUUCAGGCCAAGCUGAUUACCCCAGAUUCCUAAUUAGUGCUAAUUAAAGCUUUAAUGGAUAGCAGCCAGAAUUUAAAAGCAUGCCACCUCCUUUAAAGACCCAUUGCUGGUUCAGUGCAGGAAUGAGCCAGCCCCAGGACUUCCUAUGGCGUGACACAAGCUCCUGGAUAACUUGGCACACAACAUGCAGGCCACGUCUGGUGACCUGGAGCCUCUCCAUCCUGUUUUCCCGAAUGUCUACUGCAGUCCUGGGUAGUUUUCAAGGAGCACAUCUUUCAGUACUCCCAGCAAGACUAGCUUCACGGGCAUUUCCCCACUCUUGUCAUGGCUUGGGAAACAAAACAAAAUACCCUAACUAAAAUAAUUCUGAGGAACCCAGUAAACUUGCUUAGGCUUGAAAAGCAUUCUUAUAUUGAUUCUGCUGUAGAGAAUAGCUCAGAAGAUUCCUAGUAAGUCAACCCCAAAGGCAGCAGUUUAAAUCUACCCUGUUCUUAUACAAUCCCUAUAAUGUGCAAGCAGACUCAUACUUAUCGUGGCCAGACUGGGUCACGAAUGUUCAUAAUAAAGAGAGAAGAGAGGAUCUGGAAUUUGAUGUGAACACAUGAAUGCCCACGGAGCUGCUGAGUUACAGGGUCGAGCCACCAGCCUGGCUGCUGGGAACUGAACUGAGUCCUAUGCUAGCUCGGUCUUUAAUGACCCGCCACCACUGUGUUUGCUGCCCAUCCUUCGCCUUUCCUCCGCUGUUGAGGUCACCAGCAUGCGUAGCCACACUCAGUUUUCUAAACGGGUGCUGGGAUUUGAACUCAGGUCCUGUGUUUUCAUGGCAAGUAUCUUACCCACAAGGCCAUGUCCCUAACCCCAAAAGAGUACUUUUGUAAUGAAAUCACAUGGUUUAUUUAUUUGUUUGUUUAGCUGUUCUGGACAAAAAUGUGUUUUCCUUCAUGGCUGGGAAUGGUGGCAGUCUGUGGUCUCAUCAUUUGGAGGAUGACAUAAGAGGACGUAAAGCUACGCAGGCAUAUGGGGACACUGGCUCACACCAAGAGCAGCAAGCAAGAACAAAUGGGAGCAGAGCUCAGCGCAUGUCUGUCUUCCAGCCUGGCUGAAGAACAUGGGGUAUGGAAAAACGCCAGCAUGGGCUCAGUGCUUGGGCUUGGUGCAGCAAGAAGCAGCUGGAGCUCGGUUUCCCACACGAACUGCCCACAGACGGUAAGGACAGGAACUCUGGGUUCAAGCACUGAGGACGUGAAUUCAGUUCCUCAGCACCCAUGGUACACUGGGUGUGGGGCCAUUCGGUGGGAGGAAGACAGACAGAUCCAGCUGCUUGCUGCUCAGCUGGCCCAGCUGAAAUGCUACCCUCAGGGUCAGGGAGAGACCCUGUCCCAAGAACAAAGUGAAGAGAGACAGAGGAAGACACCGGACACUGACCUCUGGGCUCCACAGGUGCAUAUACAAGUGAGUGUGCUUACAGGUACACCCAUGUUCCCUAGUACACACAUGCACGCACGCACACAUAUGCACGCACUGGCUCUGAUUUCAAAAGGAAGCCCCACCUACUUGUCAAUGGCUGUCGGUGUUGCAGAGAGCGACUGUGGUGUGCCAUUUGUUUAUUUUAAUGGCAGCAAAGAUGCCCUUCACAUUGUCUUAGCACAUAGUUUCUUAUGUUUCCUGGUUAUUUAUUAAAGUUUUCUACAUUCUUGAGAA